rnacentral:lncRNA from 1 species
AAGAACCGGGUUGUACCCAUAGUUUUCAGCCCAUAAUACAUCAAACGGUUUAGGCCCAUAACCAACCAUAUCUAAACUGAUUUCUCAGCAAACCCAAACUAAACCAAACUUAAAAAGUCCCAGCCCAAUAAAACCCAAACCGGUCAAGCCCAAAAUAAAAAACUAAACCGUUUAAACCAGUUUUUCUAAAACCGUUCUCAGAUUUACCCAAACCCUUCAAAUCC